rnacentral:rRNA from 1 species
GACGAGGUUGAUAGGUUCGAGGUGGAAGUGCGGUAACGUAUGCAGCUGACGAAUACUAAUCGGUCGAGGGCUUAACCUAAUAU